CCAAGUAGCUGGGACUACAGGCAUGCUGGGACUACAGCCUCCCAAGUAGCUGGGACUACAGAUCACGUUGCACAGGAUAUAUAAAGCUGAAUCAUUUGGGGGAAGUUUGCUAAAGACACAGAACGCAAAACCCCAUCUCACUCUUCCUGAAUCAGAAUUGCUGACUGUGGUGCUCAGGAAUUUGCAUUUUUAAUAAGCUUCCCUCAGAUGGAGUCUUACUCUGUCACCCAGGCUGGAGUGCAGCGGCGCGAUCUCCACUCACUGCAACCUCUGCCUCCUGGGUUCAAGAGAUUCUCCUCCCUCAGCCGUCUGAGUACAGGUGGAGUUUCGUCAUGUUAGCCAGGCUGGUCUCGAACUCCUGACCUUGUGAUCCACCCGCCUCAGCCUCCCAAAGUGCUAGGAUUACAGGCGUGAGCCACUGUCCCCGGCAAGUAGAUUCACUUUUACAUGACAAAGAAGACUUUGUCACUCCUCCCACCAUUCAUUAGUCACUAACUCAAAGAGGAAGUUGGGACCAAAAGUCAUGCAUCUGAGAGGCUGCCAUGAUUUCUCCCCAAAACACAUUGGCAGGUGUAAAAUUACAGAAUGAAUCCAUCCCACAUGUGGGCUGUGUUUCUGGCUGGGUUUGACCCACUUGCAUAUCUGUGGGCUGCUCUGUCUAGACUCUUCCCUAUUCCAGCCACAUUUUGUGCCUUAGAAUGAAAUUGCUGUCGAGAUACUGAUCUACUUUUGUUGGGGUGCAGGAACUUUAGUCUAUGUUGUCAGGAACCCCUCUGGGUGGUGUAAUAGUAUUGUGAAAUAGUUCUUUAACAUAUCUUUAAAUCUUCAUGUUUACUUUGAAAAGACUGAAAAUUUUAGGAAUAUGCACUCCUUUUUGCACUAUCUAGAAUUAACAACUGAUAGUAUUUUGAUUUAUUGGCUUCCUUAAAAAAUUAAUUAAAAAAUUAACAUAUUACUGAUAUAGCUUAUGUCCUUGUACUUAUCAGAUCUACCACCCCCACUUCAAUUCCAUAUUCUUCUCAUCUCCCCCAAAGCUACCUACUUUCCUAAGCUUGGCACAUGUCCCUCUGUUCCAUUUGAAGAUAAUUUAAAUGCAUAUAUCCACAUGUGCACAGUAUCUAGUAUUGUUUUUGUGUUUUCAAAA